rnacentral:lncRNA from 1 species
AGACUUAUUGGAUUUUUCUGGACAGUUAGACGACCGAUAUCCUGUGGAAAACAACGAGAAAGCAUCAGCUGUAGGGUUGCUUGUAUGAUUGUCAACUUCACACCUAGUAUGAUGACUUCUUGAAGAUGUACAUUCAGGAGAACUUUGGAUUUCCUCGUCAGACAUGAAGGAGAAAAAAGUCAAACAGACCUUAACAGCAAUUGAAUUAAACGUGUAGAUUGAUUGAAUGCAAACCGUCGAAUGAUUUAAUUCCCGCUUAGGUAUGCACGGGUGAAUCCACCCGUGCAAAUUACUACGCAUAACGGUAUUCGUUAAGCCUUAUAACGAAAAGAAAUUUAUGUA